AAAAAUUGCUGUAGGUGCUGCAAAGGGUUUGGAGUAUUUGCAUGAAAAGGUCGAUCCUCAUAUCAUCCAUCGGGACAUAAAAUCCAGCAACGUACUAAUAUUUGAUGAUGAUUUGGCGAAAAUUGCUGACUUUGAUUUGUCAAACCAAGCCCCUGAUAUGGCUGCACGGCUUCAUUCCACCCGUGUUCUUGGAACCUUUGGCUAUCAUGCUCCUGAAUACGCAAUGACUGGACAAUUG
rnacentral:misc_RNA from 1 species